rnacentral:rRNA from 1 species
AGUACGUUAAUCUUCCGGUCUCACCCCAGAGCUCGCCUACGAAACUGACUUACUGAUUGUUGCAGAGCGACGUGCAAUGCUAGGGCAGCCGUGAUAUGCGUAGAUUUGUGCUAGAGACCCAGUGUGAAAGCGCUGCGUUGUACCACUAGCUGUCGCUGAUCAGCGACAGCUAGGGGAGCAAACAGGAUUAGAUACCCUGGUAGUCCUAGCCCUAUCGAUCAGGUCUUGGGGUGCCGCACGAUUGUGCGUCGUCUCUGCAGCUAACGAGUUAAGUCCUUCACGUGGGGAGUUCGGUCGCAAGACCAGAACUCAAAGUAAUUGACGGGGGCCCGCACAAGCGGUGGAACAUGUGGUUCAAUUCGACGCUACGCGAGGAACCUUACUUGGGCUCGAAGCGCACCUGACCAGUUGUAGAAAUACGGCCUUCCCGCAAGGGACAGGUGUGGAGGCGCUGCAUGGUUGUCGUCAGCUCGUGCCGUGAGGUGUUGGGUUAAGUUCCGCAACGAGCGCAACCCCUGCAAGUAGUUGCCACUCCGCAAGGAGGUAACUCUACGUGGAUUGCUCCGGAUAACGGAGAGGAAGGUGGGGAUGACGUCAAGUCCGCAUGGCCUUUAUGUCCAGGGCUACACACGUGUUACAAUGCAGGGCACAAACCGUUGCCAACCCGCGAGGGGGAGCUAAUCGGAAAAAACUCUGCUCAGUUCUGAUUGCAGUCUGCAACUCGACUGCAUGAAGCCGGAAUCGCUAGUAAUGGCGUAUCAGAUCGACGCCGUGAAUACGUUCCCGGGCCUUGUACACACCGCCCGUCACAUCACGAAAGUGAGUUGUACUAGAAGUCGCCGCGCGAACCGCAAGGACGCAAGCGCCCAAGGUAUGACUCAUGAUUGGGGCGAAGUCGUACAAGGUAACCA